ensembl:lncRNA
AUUUACUGGAAGAACCAGAUCGCGCGCCCUGCAGGCUUCUGUACACUCUGGCCCUUUGAUCCCUUAACCAGCACCUCUGUCUGCUACUGACUCCGGACUUCCUGUUAAGUUAGUCUCGCCUUCUAAUCUUCCUCCACCCUUUCAGUUGUGUACAGCCUAUGAUAUUCCUGAGCCCUGUCUGAAAACACAACGAACGGCAUUUCGUCGGUUGCCACAGAAGAUGUCCAAGAAUGGAAGCGAAGAUCUUUGCUGACCACAGCACCUGUACCAUGUUCACGGAGUUUAGAGCUUCUUUUCUGUUUGAACAGCAAGCUCGGUACUUACAUCGUAUUAUCGCCAUGGAAAAACACAAACAUCCAUUCAGCUUCUUCCCAGGAGGCCAACUGAGAAGCAAGUCCCACAAUUCCUUGCAAAGAUGGCGCUUUCCUCAUCCUGUGGGCGUGGCCGCAGGGUUGAUCCCCCACACACACAGAGGGCAACGUGAGUCUCCUGAAACGUGUCUAAUGGCACUGGUGUGGGCACGUGGAACCCAGGCUUGAUGGAGUUAACGAUCAUCUCAGACCAUUGAGCCGCAAUGAGAGAGAUGCGUUGGCUGUGAGGAGGAGGAGCCGUGGGUCUGAGGAGCAGGGCAAGAGGCUGCAAAAGCUUCUUACAGCCCGCACCUUGGUGACCACUCUAAGUGGGAGACGCAGAGCUGCCUCCAACAAUCGGGCUCAUGUCAGGGAACGAGUGCUGCCUCUUUCGAAGUCCUCCUCCCAUAGCUCCACAUCUGUGUCCCUUUGUGUUGUGUGACUGUGACUGAGACUCCCUGGCCAACACCGAGUCUCAUAGCCACCACCUUCAAGUUUAGGGUUGGAAUCAAUGUAUCCUAAAGCUGCUUCCAGGAAACAGUAGAGAUGCUUUUUUUUUUUUUUUUAAGCCUUCACUUUUUUAUUCUUUGUGCACAAAGACUAGCACAGUCGGUCUCACUGGGUAGACAGUAAACUAAUCCAUUCAGGUCGCUUUAUCCAACUUGAUGAAGCCUACGUCUUUCCCGCGCUGAUGGAAGCACUAACUGCACACGCUCAGCCUGUAUUUACAGAUCAGACCACGGCGGUUAGAGCAGACGAGGCGAGAGCGAGAACCCUGGCCGAGCUUCCGUGGGUGACUCCAGUACUUAAGGACAACCAGGAUGCUGUCCUGGUUGUGGGAAUAGGAGCUGGGUAGUCCAAAGAAAACAUCAUCUGCCCACUCCUGUUACUCAAGGUGGACUUUCAGGCCUCAGGACUUUAAAUCGGGAAGAUAAUUUUGAAGAUUUCAGGGAGGAGAGAUCCCUAGAUAACCCCGCCUCACCAGCAGCCCACUCCACUCGCAGUAGGAGCCAUCUGGUCUGGAUUUAUCUGUUGUAUCCACGCUGC